CUAGCCGAAAUGUCGCACAGUAAUAAGCAGUUAUAUCGAUAGAAGCUCGAUCGUCAAAAUAUAUCCAUCGACAGCGACAGCCUCUGCCUCUGAUCAACGUUAAUGUAACGUGUGUCCGGACAACCAAGACUAAUAUGUGUUAUCGGACUACAUGUGACUUCCAGUAGAUCUGAACUUGUGAAUAUAUAAGGAGGCGUGGCAAGAUGUCUAACCCCAGUGAUGAAAGCACCUACAGUCCUGAUAAAGAGCCAACCACCACCAGUACUGGCGAGACACACAAUAAGAAGGAGGUGUUCGGUCUGACAUUAGACAUCGGAUACAUUAAGAGUAUCCAUGGUAUGCUUAGAGCUGGAGAAAUAUUUUUAACGUUGGUAGCUUUUAUAUGUGUCUCGUCUUCAAGAAACGAAGCAUGUGAUUUCCUGCACGCAGCAACUUAUAAUUUCUUCGAGUUUACGUCUAUGACAGCCUUUCUUAGUACCCUCAUUAUCUACGUCAUCUU